UUUUGAAACACCAAACAGAAUGGCUGUAGACGUUUGCCUUUCUUCACCUUUACUAGGUGUGGUCUUCCGGUGGCAAGAUGGCUGCUGCAUCUUCAGGCAUCGGAUGCCCACACCCUGCUCCAAAGAGCCCGAACAGCACUUAGCAGUGUUGGCCAUCCAGCAUGAUCUUUGUGAAGAGCCACGGGCGGCCCACAUCUGGAUCUGCAGUGAGAGUUGGAGGCUUGAUAACAGACAAGUUGGCUCACUCAGAUUUUAUCCAGAUCCCUCCCUGAGAGGAAAGGAAAAAGAAAGUGAUGCUCCUUGGGUGUCUGCCUUGCGACCUGUCUCCUGUAAACCACCUGUGUUCGGAUGCAGCCUGGGAGUCUUUGCUUUUAUUUGUUAUAAUGUUUGUUGUGAAGAUGGACAUCACUGGUCUUAUUUCAUCUCAGCUUUAUGUAAGCUGUUGUGGAUUUUUAAUGCCUCCCUGCUUCUUUCCUUCCUAUCUUUGGCCAAAUGUUUUGUGGAUUUGC